ACCAGAUGUAGAGUUUGAUCCUGGCUCAGGAGGAACGCUGGUGGCGUGCUUAACACAUGCAAGUCGAACGGGAAUCUUCGAGUGCUAAUGGCGGACGGGUGAGUAACGCGUGAGAAUCUCCCUACAGGACGGGGACACCAGUCGAAAACGACCGUAAAGCCCCGAUGUGCCGAGAGGUGAAACAUAUCUGGCCUGGAGAAGCGCCCGAGUCUGAUUAGCUAGUUGGUGGGGUAAAGGCCCACCAAGGCGACGAUCAGUAGCUGGUCUGAGAGGAUGACCAGCCACACUGGCACUGAGACACGGCCCAGACUCCUACGGGAGGCAGCAGUGGGGAAUAUUGCGGGGCGCAAGCCUGAUCCAGCCAUGCCGCGUGAGGGGAGAAGGCUUUUGGACUGUAAACCCCUUUUCUCAGGGAAGAAUCCAAUGACGGUACCUGAGGAAAAGGCCGCGGCUAACUCCGUGCCAGCAGCCGCGGUAAUACGGGGGGGGCAAGCGUUAUCCGGAAUUAUUGGGCGUAAAGCGUCCGCAGGCGGUUAAUCAAGUCUGUUGUCAAAUCGUGGGGCUCAACCUCAUAAAGGCAGUGGAAACUGGAUGACUAGAGUGUGGUAGGGGUAGAUGGAAUUCCCGGUGUAGCAGUGAAAUGCGUAGAUAUUGGGAAGAACACCAGUGGCGAAGGCAAUCCACUGGGAUAUUACUGACGCUCAUGCACGAAAGCGUGGGGAGCAAACAGGAUUAGAUACCCCGGUAGUCCACGCCCUAAACGAUGGCCACUAGGUGUGGGGGGAAUCUCCCCGCGCCGUGCCGAAGGCAACGCGUUAAGUGCCCCGCCUGGGGAGUACGCACAUUAAAACGAAACUCAAAGGAAUUGACGGGGGCCCCCACAAGCGGUGGAGUAUGUGGUUUAUUUCGAUGCAACGCGAAGAACCUUACCAAGGUUUGACAUCCCGCGAACCCCUUGGAAACAAGGGGGUGCCUUCGGGAGCCAGACACAGAGGUGGCAUGGGUGUCGUCAGCUCGUGUCGUGAGAUGUUGGGUUAAGUCCCGCAACGAGCGCAACCCACGUUCUUAGUUGCCAGCAUUCAGUUGGGCACUCUAAGGAGACUGCCGGUGACAAACCGGAGGAAGGUGGGGAUGACGUCAAGUCAUCAUGGCCCUUACGUCUUGGGCUACACACGUACUACAAUGGUCGGGACAGAGGGCUGCCAACCCGCGAGACGGAGCUAAUCCCACAAACUGGGGCUUAGUUCGGAUUGCAGUCUGCAACUCGCUUGCAUGAAGGUGGAAUCGCUAGUAAUCGCGGAUCAGCAUGCCGCGGUGAAUACGUUCCCGGGCCUUGUACACACCGCCCGUCACACCAUGGAAGUUGGCUUUGCCCGAAGUCGUUACCCUAACCGGAAGGGGGGGGGGGCCCUAAGGAGAGGGCUAGUGACUGGGGUGAAGUCGUAACAAGGUAACCCUAC
rnacentral:rRNA from 1 species